rnacentral:tRNA from 1 species
GCCCACGUAGCUCAGUCGGAUAGAGCGGGGACCUCCUAAGUCCUAGGCCGUCGGUUCGAUUCCGGCCGUGGGCGCCA